rnacentral:rRNA from 1 species
AUUGAACGCUGGCGGCAGGCUUAACACAUGCAAGUCGAGCGGAGAUGAGGUGCUUGCACCUUAUCUUAGCGGCGGACGGGUGAGUAAUGCUUAGGAAUCUGCCUAUUAGUGGGGGACGACAUUCCGAAAGGAAUGCUAAUACCGCAUACGUCCUACGGGAGAAAGCAGGGGAUCUUCGGACCUUGCGCUAAUAGAUGAGCCUAAGUCGGAUUAGCUAGUUGGUGGGGUAAAGGCCUACCAAGGCGACGAUCUGUAGCGGGUCUGAGAGGAUGGUCCGCCACACUGGGACUGAGACACGGCCCAGACUCCUACGGGAGGCAGCAGUGGGGAAUAGUGGACAAUGGGGGGAACCCUGAUCCAGCCAUGCCGCGUGUGUGAAGAAGGCCUUAUGGUUGUAAAGCACUUUAAGCGAGGAGGAGGCAACUGAGACUAAUACUCUUGGAUAGUGGACGUUACUCGCAGAAUAAGCACCGGCUAACUCUGUGCCAGCCGCCGCCGUAACAC